rnacentral:rRNA from 1 species
GGGAACUCCGAGCAUUACCUUAAAACCCAAAGGACUUGGCGGUGCCAAAUACCCCCUAGAGGAGCCUGUUCUAAAACCGAUAAUCCCCCUUCAACCUCACCUUUUCUUGUUAAAACCGCCUAUAUACCGCCGUCGUCAGCAUACCCUGUGAAGGAAACAUAGUAAGCAAAACUGGUAUAACCCACAACGCCAGGUCGAGGUGUAGCAAAUGAAAAGGAAAGAAAUGGGCUACAUUUCCUCCCACAGGACAUACGAAUUGUACUAUGAAAUAAUACAUGAAGGUGGAUUUAGCAGUAAGCAGAAAGCAGAGCGUUCCGCUGAACCCGGACCUAAAGCGCGCACACACCGCCCGUCACUCUCCCCAAGUUCUAAAACUCCUAUUACUAAAACCCUACUAGAAUAAAGGGGAGGCAAGUCGUAACAUGGUAAGUGUACCGGAAGGUGUACUUGGUAAAAC